rnacentral:rRNA from 1 species
AGGCCAUAGACCAGAGAGGGUGCGAGUCCCGUCCUGGAUUGCGAUGCUGUUGGUUCGAUUGCUCCUUGGAGUCGGGUUGCUUGAAAGUGCAGCCUAAAGUGGGUGAUAAACUUCAUCUAAGGCUAAAUAUUGACUCGAUUGCGAUAGCGAACAAGUACCGUGAGGGAAAGUUGCAAAGGACUUUGAAGAGAGAGUUCAAGAGAACGUGAAAUCGCUGGAGUGGAACCGGAGACAGUUGAUGUUGCUUGGAGACAAGUUUGGUGGCUGGUCGCUUAGUUGUGAUCGUCGCCGGAUGUCGUUUCCUAUGCUACGCCGACGGCGUUGGUCGCUCGUUCUGGCCCGACAGUGUUGCCCAGCUCGCAAGAGUCGGUGUCUUGUUGUCGGUCGUUGGUUCGUGGUGGCUAGCGUUUAGUUACGCUAGUGUGUGUGACGUCGGUGUGAAAGUCGACGACGUUUCCGACCCGUCUUGAAACACGGAUUGCGGAGUGCUUGUCUACUGCGAGUCAAAGGGUGUUAAAACCUUGCGGCGAAAUGAAAGUGAAGGUCAGUCUUGAAUUGGCCGACGUGGGAUCGGUGCUCCUCGGAGUGCUGCGCACCACGGCCCUGUGCGUGUCACUUGUGACUGUGCAGAGGUUGAGCAGUUGGCAAACGACCCGAAAGAUGGUGAACUAUGCCUGAGCAGGAUGAAGCCAGAGGAAACUCUGGUGGAAGUCCGUAUCGGUUCUGACGUGCAAAUCGAUCGAUAGACUUGGGUAUAGGGGCGAAAGACUAAUCGAACCAUCUAGUAGCUGGUUCCUUCCGAAGUUUCCCUCAGGAUAGCUGGAUCUCCGGCAGUUAUAUUCGGUAAAGCUAAUGAUUAGAGGCCUUGGGGACGUAAUGUCCUCAACCUAUUCUCAAACUUUCAAUGGAUAUGAAGUUGCAGUUUCUUUAGUGAACUGUCAACGUGAAUGCGAGGUCCAAGUGGGCCAUUUUUGGUAAGCAGAACUGGCGCUGUGGGAUGAACCAAACGUGGAGUUAAGGUGCCUAACUUCUCGCUCAUGAGACCCCAUAAAAGGUGUUGGUUGAUAUUGACAGCAGGACGGUGGCCAUGGAAGUCGGUAUCCGCUAAGGAGUGUGUAACAACUCACCUGCCGAAUCAACUAGCCCUGAAAAUGGAUGGCGCUUAAGCGAGAGACCUAUACUCCGCCGUUGCGGCAUGUGCGUUGUCUAGCGCCAGGCCGUAACGAGUAGGAAGGUCGUGGCGGUUGCUUUGAAGGCUAUGAGCGUGGGCUCGGCUGGAGCUUCCGUCAGUGCAGAUCGUAAUGGUAGUAGCAAAUAUUCAAGUUCGAUCCUUGAAGACUGAAGUGGAGAAGGGUUCCACGUGAACAGUAGUUGGAUGUGGGUCAGUCGAUCCUAAGGUACUGGCGAACGCCUUGUAUCAUCGGUGGCGAAAAGCUUGCUUUUGGUCCCCGUUUGUCGAAAGGGAAUAGGGUUAAUAUUCCCUAACUGAGAUGCAAAGAUUGUGUUCUUCGGAGCACAAGCGCGGUAACGCAUUCGAACUUGGUUAGUCGCUCAAAGACCGAGCUAGAGUUUUCUUCUCUAGUUAAGGAACGGACUCCCUGGAAUUGGUUCAGCCAGAGAUGGGGACGUUGUUUCCGAAAAGCACCGCGGUUUCUGUGGUGUCUCGUGCUCUUUGAACGGCCCUUAAAACACCAAGGGAGGCUAUUAAUUUGCACUCAAUCGUACCGAUAUCCGCAUUAGGUCUCCAAGGUGAACAGCCUCUAGUCGAUAGAAUAAUGUAGGUAAGGGAAGUCGGCAAACUAGAUCCGUAACUUCGGGAAAAGGAUUGGCUCCAGUGGUUGGAACGAUUGGCCAGUUGGUUGAUGCUUGUCCGGCGCUAUUCUGUCUGCUUGAUGCUUUCGGGCUGAUGGCGGACUAGUGAUAGUGCUUGCUUGUGGACGCUUUCUGGUGUGUGCUAGGACCUCGGUUCUAGUAUCCUGAUCGCUCAUCUAAACAACCGUACUGGAACCGGUACGGACUCAGGGAAUCCGACUGUCUAAUUAAAACAGAGGUGACAGAUGGUCCUUGCGGACGCUGACUGUCACUGAUUUCUGCCCAGUGCUCUGAAUGUUAAAUCGUAGUAAUUCGAGUAAGCGCGGGUAAACGGCGGGAGGAACUAUGACUCUCUUAAGGUAGCCAAAUGCCUCGUCAUUUAAUUGUUGACGCGCAUGAAUGGAUU